GUGGGGAAUAUUGGACAAUGGGGGGAACCCUGAUCCAGCCAUGCCGCGUGUGUGAAGAAGGCCUUUUGGUUGUAAAGCACUUUAAGCGAGGAGGAGGCUACCGAGAUUAAUACUCUUGGAUAGUGGACGUUACUCGCAGAAUAAGCACCGGCUAAUUCUGUGCCAGCAGCCGCGGUAAUACAGAGGGUGCAAGCGUUAAUCGGAUUUACUGGGCGUAAAGCGCGCGUAGGUGGACAAUUAAGUCAAAUGUGAAAUCCCCGAGCUUAACUUGGGAAUUGCAUUCGAUACUGGUUGGCUAGAGUAUGGGAGAGGAUGGUAGAAUUCCAGGUGUAGCGGUGAAAUGCGUAGAGAUCUGGAGGAAUACCGAUGGCGAAGGCAGCCAUCUGGCCUAAUACUGACACUGAGGUGCGAAAGCAUGGGGAGCAAACAGGAUUAGAAACCCUGGUAGUCC
rnacentral:rRNA from 1 species